GCCAUCUUAGCUCAAUUGGCAGAGCAAUCGCUUCGUAAGCGAUAGGUUGAGGGUUCAACUCCCUCAGAUGGCU
rnacentral:tRNA from 1 species